CUGAGAGUAAAUGGGUCUGACUACAACUCUAAAAAUACAGGGUUCAACUGGAGUUGUUCUGAGAUCCCCUAAGAACCAUAGGGUUCUUGGUCAAUGAAAAACAGCCCCAAAAGGUUCUUCAAAGAACAUGUUAGAAGAUCUUCUCAGAAAUGAAUCAAGUCCAUGGAAUGGAUAUAGACAAAACGAGAAUUCAAGAACUAGCAGAGGUAGAGAGGCAGGGGUGAGGACAUCAUCCUGCUAUUUUGACAGUCCCUGAAGGACAAUACAGAAGAGAUUUCACCGCUCUUCACUCCUUUACUGCACAUCGGCGGAAAUCCAUUUCACCAUGAGAGUGAAAUCCCGCUGGCCUUUGAUGGGGAGAACUUCCACGCCCUCGAGGACGUCUCCGUGGGACUUGGGGCUCUGCUAGGGCUGUAUUUUUUAUUUUCCCUUAAAUUUGCUAUUUUGUAAUGUGUUUUGUUUGGUAAAUUGUUUUGUAAAUAUUAAUUCACAUUUGUGGUGCCACUAAAUAAACAAUUAUUAUUUAAG
ensembl:lncRNA